CACACCGCCCGUCACACCAUGGGAGUUGGUUCUACCCGAAGGCGCUGCGCUAACCCGCAAGGGAGGCAGGCGACCACGGUAGGGUCAGCGACUGAGGUG
rnacentral:rRNA from 1 species